rnacentral:rRNA from 1 species
GGGGGGAAAGGGGAAACUUUGCUCCUGAUGUUAGCGGCGGACGGGUGAGUAACACGUGGGUAACCUGCCUGUAAGACUGGGAUAACUCCGGGAAACCGGGGCUAAUACCGGAUGGUUGUUUGAACCGCAUGGUUCAGACAUAAAAGGUGGCUUCGGCUACCACUUACAGAUGGACCCGCGGCGCAUUAGCUAGUUGGUGAGGUAACCGGCUCACCAAGGCGACGAUGCGUAAGCCGACCUGAGAGGGUGAUCGGCCACACUGGGACUGAGACACGGCCCAGACUCCUACGGGAGGCAGCAGUAGGGAAUCUUCCGCAAUGGACGAAAGUCUGACGGGAGCAACGCCGCGUGAGUGAUGAAGGUUUUCGGAUCGUAAAGCUCUGUUGUUAGGGAAGAACAAGUGCCGUUCAAAUAGGGCGGCACCUUGACGGUACCCUAACCAGAAAGCCACGGCUAACUACGUGCCAGCAGCCGCGGUAAUACGUAGGUGGCAAGCGUUGUCCGGAAUUAUUGGGCGUAAAGGGCUCGCAGGCGGUUUCUUAAGUCUGAUGUGAAAGCCCCCGGCUCAACCGGGGAGGGUCAUUGGAAACUGGGGAACUUGAGUGCAGAAGAGGAGAGUGGAAUUCCACGUGUAGCGGUGAAAUGCGUAGAGAUGUGGAGGAACACCAGUGGCGAAGGCGACUCUCUGGUCUGUAACUGACGCUGAGGAGCGAAAGCGUGGGGAGCGAACAGGAUUAGAUACCCUGGUAGUCCACGCCGUAAACGAUGAGUGCUAAGUGUUAGGGGGUUUCCGCCCCUUAGUGCUGCAGCUAACGCAUUAAGCACUCCGCCUGGGGAGUACGGUCGCAAGACUGAAACUCAAAGGAAUUGACGGGGGCCCGCACAAGCGGUGGAGCAUGUGGUUUAAUUCGAAGCAACGCGAAGAACCUUACCAGGUCUUGACAUCCUCUGACAAUCCUAGAGAUAGGACGUCCCCUUCGGGGGCAGAGUGACAGGUGGUGCAUGGUUGUCGUCAGCUCGUGUCGUGAGAUGUUGGGUUAAGUCCCGCAACGAGCCGCAACCCUUGAUCUUAGGUUGCCAGCAUUCAGUUGGGCACUCUAAGGUGACUGCCGGUGACAAACCGGAGGAAGGUGGGGAUGACGUCAAAUCAUCAUGCCCCUUAUGACCUGGGCUACACACGUGCUACAAUGGACAGAACAAAGGGCAGCGAAA